AGUGAACGCUGGCGGUAGGCCUAACACAUGCAAGUCGAACGGCAGCACAGUAAGAGCUUGCUCUUACGGGUGGCGAGUGGCGGACGGGAGAGGAAUACAUCGGAAUCUACUUUUUCGUGGGGGAUAACGUAGGGAAACUUACUCUAAUACCGCAUACGCCCUACGGGUGAAAGCAGGGGAUCUUCUGACCUUGCGCGAUUGAAUUAGCCGAUGUUGGAGUAGCUAGUUGGGGGGGUAAAGGCCCACCAAGUCGACGAUCCGUAGCUGGUCUGAGAGGAUGAUCAGCCACACUGGAACUGGGACACGGUCCAGACUCCUACGGGAGGCAGCAGUGGGGAAUAUUGGACAAUGGGCGCAAGCCUGAUCCAGCCAUCCCGCGUGGGUGAAGAAGGCCUUCGGGUUGUAAAGCCCCUUUGUUGGGAAAGAAAAGCAGCAGGUUAAUACCACGCUGUUCUGACGGUACCCAAAGAAUAAGCACCGGCUAACUUCGUG
rnacentral:rRNA from 1 species